rnacentral:rRNA from 1 species
AUGCAAGUCGAACGAACCUUCGGGUUAGUGGCGGACGGGUGAGUAACGCGUGGGAAUCUGCCCUCAGGAGGGGGAUAACGGCUGGAAACGGCCGCUAAUACCCCAUAUGCCGAGAGGUGAAAUGAAUUUCGCCUGAGGAUGAGCCCGCGUCUGAUUAGCUAGUUGGUGAGGUAAGAGCUCACCAAGGCAUCGAUCAGUAGCUGGUCUGAGAGGAUGAUCAGCCACACUGGGACUGAGACACGGCCCAGACUCCUACGGGAGGCAGCAGUGGGGAAUUUUCCGCAAUGGGCGAAAGCCUGACGGAGCAACGCCGCGUGAGGGAUGAAGGCCUCUGGGCUGUAAACCUCUUUUCUCAAGGAAGAAGAUCUGACGGUACUUGAGGAAUAAGCCACGGCUAAUUCCGUGCCAGCAGCCGCGGUAAUACGGGAGUGGCAAGCGUUAUCCGGAAUUAUUGGGCGUAAAGCGUCCGCAGGCGGCCCUUCAAGUCUGCUGUUAAAACGUGGAGCUUAACUCCAUCAUGGCAGUGGAAACUGUUGGGCUUGAGUGUGGUAGGGGCAGAGGGAAUUCCCGGUGUAGCGGUGAAAUGCGUAGAUAUCGGGAAGAACACCAGUGGCGAAGGCGCUCUGCUGGGCCAUAACUGACGCUCAUGGACGAAAGCCAGGGGAGCGAAAGGGAUUAGAUACCCCUGUAGUCCUGGCCGUAAACGAUGAACACUAGGUGUCGGGGGAAUCGACCCCCUCGGUGUCGUAGCCAACGCGUUAAGUGUUCCGCCUGGGGAGUACGCACGCAAGUGUGAAACUCAAAGGAAUUGACGGGGGCCCGCACAAGCGGUGGAGUAUGUGGUUUAAUUCGAUGCAACGCGAAGAACCUUACCAGGGUUUGACAUCCUGCGAACCUCUUGGAAACGAGAGGGUGCCUUCGGGAACGCAGUGACAGGUGGUGCAUGGCUGUCGUCAGCUCGUGUCGUGAGAUGUUGGGUUAAGUCCCGCAACGAGCGCAACCCACGUCUUUAGUUGCCAGCAUUUAGUUGGGCACUCUAGAGAGACCGCCGGUGAUAAACCGGAGGAAGGUGUGGAUGACGUCAAGUCAUCAUGCCCCUUACAUCCUGGGCUACACACGUACUACAAUGCUACGGACAAAGAGCAGCAAGUUCGCGAGGACAAGCAAAUCUCAUAAACCGUGGCUCAGUUCAGAUCGUAGGCUGCAACUCGCCUACGUGAAGGAGGAAUCGCUAGUAAUCGCAGGUCAGCAUACUGCGGUGAAUACGUUCCCGGGCCUUGUACACACCGCCCGUCACACCAUGGAAGUUGGCCACGCCCGAAGCCGUUACUCCAACCCUUGUGGAGGAGGAC